rnacentral:rRNA from 1 species
UAAGUAGGGCGUGAAAGCGUGUGGCUCAACCAUAUACACAUGUCCUAAACUGCUAAGCUAGAAUAUAGAAGAGGUCGCUGGAAUUCCUUGUGUAGGAGUGAAAUCCGGUAGAUAUAAGGAGGAACACCGAUGGCGUAGGCAGGCGACUGGUCUAUUAUUGACACUAAGGCACGAAAGCGUGGUAGCAACGGGAUUAGAUACCCCGGUAGUCCACGCCGUAAACUAUGGAUGCUA